rnacentral:rRNA from 1 species
UGGAUCCAGACUUUGAUUAUGGCUCAGGAUGAACGCUAGCUACAGGCUUAACACAUGCAAGUCGAGGGGAAACGACAUCGAAAGCUUGCUUUUGAUGGGCGUCGACCGGCGCACGGGUGAGUAACGCGUAUCCAACCUGCCCAUCACUUGGGGAUAACCUUGCGAAAGUAAGACUAAUACCCAAUGACGUCUCUAGAAGACAUCUGAAAGAGAUUAAAGAUUUAUCGGUGAUGGAUGGGGAUGCGUCUGAUUAGCUUGUUGGCGGGGUAACGGCCCACCAAGGCAACGAUCAGUAGGGGUUCUGAGAGGAAGGUCCCCCACAUUGGAACUGAGACACGGUCCAAACUCCUACGGGAGGCAGCAGUGAGGAAUAUUGGUCAAUGGGCGAGAGCCUGAACCAGCCAAGUAGCGUGCAGGAUGACGGCCCUAUGGGUUGUAAACUGCUUUUAUAAGGGAAUAAAGUGAGUCUCGUGAGACUUUUUGCAUGUACCUUAUGAGUAAGGACCGGCUAAUUCCGUGCCAGCAGCCGCGGUAAUACGGAAGGUCCGGGCGUUAUCCGGAUUUAUUGGGUUUAAAGGGAGCGUAGGCCGGAGAUUAAGCGUGUUGUGAAAUGUAGACGUUCAACGUCUGCACUGCAGCGCGAACUGGUUUCCUUGAGUACGCACAAAGUGGGCGGAAUUCGUGGUGUAGCGGUGAAAUGCUUAGAUAUCACGAAGAACUCCGAUUGCGAAGGCAGCUCACUGGAGCGCAACUGACGCUGAAGCUCGAAAGUGCGGGUAUCGAACAGGAUUAGAUACCCUGGUAGUCCGCACGGUAAACGAUGGAUGCCCGCUGUUGGUCUGAAUAGGUCAGCGGCCAAGCGAAAGCAUUAAGCAUCCCACCUGGGGAGUACGCCGGCAACGGUGCAACUCAAAGGAAUUGACGGA